GUUCGGACCCGAGGAACCGAGGACCCCAGCAGUGAGUUCAGCUGCUUCGGUAUUGUCAGAGUCAGCCAGAGGUGAGUGGAACGAAACUAAAUCUUUUAAAGUAAAUGUUUUAUCAUGUUUCAUGCAUCAUGAUUAUGUAAUAGGGUGAUUGCAUUAGUUUCCACGAAUAUGCCGCAUUGCAUCGAUUGUUGUUGAUGUGGGUGAAUGUUGGAUGACCCAAUUAGUCCAUGACAGGAAGACCAGGCCCCAUGCUACAGGCCUGGCACAGAGUAAGAAAGACCAGGCCCCAUUCUACAGGCCUGGCACAGAGUAAGGAAAGACCAGGAUUCCAUCCUAUGGUCUAGCACGGUUACGGGACUCGAGACCAGGAGCUUAGAGGAGGCCCUGGGGAAAUGGUAAGUAAAGUAUGUUCUGACAGGAAAGACCAGGACCCCAUUCUACAGGCCUGGCACAGAGUUAACUUGGACUAAUUGGUGACAAGUUCACCCAACCCUUAUGUGAAUUGUCUGUGUUAUGAUGCAUUUCAUUAAAGCAUAGUGUUAAUAUGUUUUAUAGUUCAGCUCACUGGGCUUUUAGCUCACCCCUCUCCCUUUACCCCCAGGCUUGCAGGUACAGUAUAGAGCGGGAGUCCGGAUAGAGUAAGGAAGUCAUGUCUAUGUAAUAGCUAGCAAUGGACAUGAUCGGAUUGUAAUGUAAUGUCUUAAGUAUAGUAUAAUUAUGUAAUGAUGUUUAUGGAUGUUUAGAGGUGUGCUUGACCAUAGAUGUUGUAAUCCCUUUUAAUACAUGAUCUUGGUUAUUUUAUGCCAUUUAUGUAAACCAACUCAGCAUAUGUUGUGUCACCCAUUGGGGACACUGAUGAGAUCCCACAGAGGGAUCAAUG
rnacentral:lncRNA from 1 species